UAAUACAUGCAAGUCGAGCGAACGGACGAGAAGCUUGCUUCUCUGAUGUUAGCGGCGGACGGGUGAGUAACACGUGGAUAACCUACCUAUAAGACUGGGAUAACUUCGGGAAACCGGAGCUAAUACCGGAUAAUAUUUUGAACCGCAUGGUUCAAAAGUGAAAGACGGUCUUGCUGUCACUUAUAGAUGGAUCCGCGCUGCAUUAGCUAGUUG
rnacentral:rRNA from 1 species